AGCGAACGCUGGCGGCAGGCUUAACACAUGCAAGUCGAGCGGGCAUAGCAAUAUGUCAGCGGCAGACGGGUGAAUAACGCGUGGGAACGUACCUUUUGGUUCGGAACAACACAGGGAAACUUGUGCUAAUACCGGAUAAGCCCUUACGGGGAAAGAUUUAUCGCCGAAAGAUCGGCCCGCGUCUGAUUAGCUAGUUGGUGAGGUAAUGGCUCACCAAGGCGUCGAUCAGUAGCUGGUCUGAGAGGAUGAUCAGCCACAUUGGGACUGAGACACGGCCCAAGCUCCUACGGGAGGCAGCAGUGGGGAAUAUUGGACAAUGGGCGCAAGCCUGAUCCAGCCAUGCCGCGUGAGUGAUGAAGGCCCUAGGGUUGUAAAGCUCUUUUGUGCGGGAAGAUAAUGACGGUACCGCAAGAAUAAGCCCCGGCUAACUUCGUGCCAGCCGCCGCCGUAA
rnacentral:rRNA from 1 species